rfam:Bat coronavirus Cp/Yunnan2011, complete genome.
UCAUGAUGACCACACAAGGCAGAUGGGCUAUGUAAACGUUUUCGCAAUUCCGUUUACGAUACAUAGUCUACUCUUGUGCAGAAUGAAUUCUCGUAACUAAACAGCACAAGUAGGUUUAGUUAACUUUAAUCUCACAUAGCAAUCUUUAAUCAAUGUGUAACAU